rnacentral:rRNA from 1 species
AUUGAACGCUGGCGGCAGGCCUAACACAUGCAAGUCGAGCGGAUGAAGGGAGCUUGCUCCUGGAUUCAGCGGCGGACGGGUGAGUAAUGCCUAGGAAUCUGCCUGGUAGUGGGGGAUAACGUCCGGAAACGGGCGCUAAUACCGCAUACGUCCUGAGGGAGAAAGUGGGGGAUCUUCGGACCUCACGCUAUCAGAUGAGCCUAGGUCGGAUUAGCUAGUUGGUGGGGUAAAGGCCUACCAAGGCGACGAUCCGUAACUGGUCUGAGAGGGUGAUCAGUCACAACUGAACUGGGAAACGGGCCAGACUCCUAAGGGAGGCAGCAGUGGGGAAUAUUGGACAAUGGGCGAAAGCCUGAUCCAGCCAUGCCGCGUGUGUGAAGAAGGUCUUCGGAUUGUAAAGCACUUUAAGUUGGGAGGAAGGGCAGUAAGUUAAUACCUUGCUGUUUUGACGUUACCAACAGAAUAAGCACCGGCUAACUUCGUG